rnacentral:rRNA from 1 species
GACGAACGCUGGCGGCGUGCCUAAUACAUGCAAGUAGGACGCAGUUGCGAACGGGUGAGUAACGCGUAGGUAACUACCUAUUAGAGGGGGAUAACUAUUGGAAACGAUAGCUAAUACCGCAUACUAGUAGAUGUACCUGCGUUGUAUUAGCUAGUAGGUAGGGUAAUGGCCUACCUAGGCAACGAUACAUAGACGACGUGAGAGGUGGAGCGGGCAAAAUGGGACUGAGAAACGGCCAAGACGCCUACGGGAGGCAGCAGUAGGGAAGCUUAGGCAAUGGGGGGAACACUGACCGAGCAACGCCGCGUGAGUGAAGAAGGUUUUCGGAUCGUAAAGCUCUGUUGGUAAGGAAGCGGUACUUAACCAGAAAGGGACGGCUAACUACGUGCCAGCAGCCGCGGUAAUAC